rnacentral:rRNA from 1 species
UACGUAGGGGGCGAGCGUUGUCCGGAAUUAUUGGGCGUAAAGAGCGUGUAGGCGGUUUGGUAAGUCUGCUGUGAAAUCCUGGGGCUCAACCCUGGACGGGCAGCGGAUACUGCCGGGCUAGAGGGUGGUAGAGGCGAGUGGAAUUCCGAGUGUAGCGGUGAAAUGCGCAGAUAUCCGGAGGAACACCAGUAGCGAAGGCGGCUCGCUGGGCCACACCUGACGCUGAGACGCGAAAGCGUGGGGAGCGAACAGG